AGUGAACGCUGGCGGCGUGCUUAACACAUGCAAGUCGAACGAGAACGGGAUAUAGCUUGCUAUAUUUGUCAGCUAAGUAGCGCACGGGUGAGUAAUGUAUAGGUAAUAUGCCUCUUACUAAGGGAUAACAAUUGGAAACGAUUGCUAAUACCUUAUAUGCCUUUAAGACUAAAUUCUGCAAGGGAAAGAUUUAUUUGUAAGAGAUUAGCCUUGAUUGUAUCAGCUAGUUGGUGAGGUAAUGGCUCACCAAGGCUAUGAAGCAUAACUGGUUUGAGAGGAUGAUCAGUCACACUGGAACUGAGACACGGUCCAGACUCCUACGGGAGGCAGCAGUGGGGAAUAUUGCACAAUGGACGAAAGUCUGAUGCAGCAACGCCGCGUGGAGGAUGACACAUUUCGGUGCGUAAACUCCUUUUAUAUAGGAAGAUAAUAACGGUACUAUACGAAUAAGCACCAGCUAACUCCGUGCCAGCCGCCGCGGUAA
rnacentral:rRNA from 1 species